CGGGGAGCGAAGCUUGCUUUGCUCCGCCGGCGACCGGCUCACGGGUGAGUAACGCGUAUGCAACCUGCCCGUUUCAGCGGGAUAACCCGGAGAAAUCCGGCCUAAUACCGCAUGUGGCCGAGGGAAGGCAUCUUCUUUCGGCCAAAGGAGGCGACUCCGGAGACGGAUGGGCAUGCGUGACAUUAGCUUGUUGGCGGGGUAACGGCCCACCAAGGCGACGAUGUCUAGGGGUUCUGAGAGGAAGGUCCCCCACACUGGUACUGAGACACGGACCAGACUCCUACGGGAGGCAGCAGUGAGGAAUAUUGGUCAAUGGGCGAGAGCCUGAACCAGCCAAGUCGCGUGAAGGAUGACGGCCCUACGGGUUGUAAACUUCUUUUGUCAGGGAGCAAUUGGGUCCACGCGUGGGCUUAGCGAGAGUACCUGAAGAAAAAGCAUCGGCUAACUCCGUGCCAGCAGCCGCGGUAAUACGGAGGAUGCGAGCGUUAUCCGGAUUUAUUGGGUUUAAAGGGUGCGUAGGCGGAAUAUCAAGUCAGCGGUAAAAAUUCGGGGCUCAACCCCGUCGUGCCGUUGAAACUGAUGUUCUUGAGUGGGCGAGAAGUAUGCGGAAUGCGUGGUGUAGCGGUGAAAUGCAUAGAUAUCACGCAGAACUCCGAUUGCGAAGGCAGCAUACCGGCGCCCAACUGACGCUGAAGCACGAAAGCGUGGGUAUCGAACAGGAUUAGAUACCCUGGUAGUCCACGCAGUAAACGAUGAAUGCUAAUUGUCCGGAGGGAUUGACCUCUGGGUGAUACAGCGAAAGCGUUAAGCAUUC
rnacentral:rRNA from 1 species